UAAAAAUGGUAUUUUCUUGCUUUUCAGACCUUCUACUCACUAAGUUAAAAUUAUUCCAUGUCCCACAGAUAGGAUUACAACCAAUAAUACUACCAUAUGGAACUAAAUCUGUCCAACAUGAUCUUUGACAAAUCCACAAUACAAACUUUGUUCAUUUGGGCCAAACAGGAUCUUCAUUUACAUAGAUCACAAUUAUCCCCUCUGCAUUUCUGCAUUAUUUUAAAUGUCUGGGGUUUAUUUUGAAAUUUUUGAUUCCGAAGAUUCACUGGAAAUUCCUUGAGAACAAACCUGAAAUGCAAAUGAAGGCCUAGAAGAGAGCAGACAUGAUUCAAUGGUGACUUCAAGGAAGAGAACUGUCUUAUUUUAAGAUUAAAAAAAAGUGUCACUGAGACUCACCACCUGAUUUGAUCAGGGAACCAGCUUUAAUACUAAUGUGGCACUACUUCGCAUGUUUCCCUUUAAAUAAAAAUAAAUAGAUAAAUAAAUAGUGCA
rnacentral:lncRNA from 1 species